AUCUUCUCAUGCAAUUAAUCGGACUCCAUUUCCAUUCAUACAGCAUACACGGACCCUUCGUCAUCCUCCCAAUGAACCAUUGCCAUGAUACAACCUUAAUUUGCUCUACCACCUCCUCCACCGUAACUGCUACAUUGUUGAACACGGAGUCAUUACGUCGCUUCCAAACAGUCCACAUAAAUGCGUUCCAGAUCAAGCACGUCCCUGACUUUUCUUUCUUAUUCGUAACACAAGUAGCCCACAUAGCAAAAGAAAUAGCAAGACUUGGUGGAAUAAUUAAAUUAAAACCCAGCCAACCAGUGAUUUUAUACCAGAUAUUAGCCACACACUCACAAUGCAGAAAGAGAUGAAUUGCAGUU
rnacentral:lncRNA from 1 species